UACGUAGGGACCGAGCGUUGUCCGGAUUCAUUGGGCGUAAAGAGCUCGUAGGCGGCUAUUCAAGUCGAACGUGAAAUCUCGGAGCUCAACUCCGAAACUGCAUUCGAUACUGCCGUGCUUGAGGACUGGAGAGGAGACUGGAAUUUACGGUGUAGCGGUGAAAUGCGUAGAUAUCGUAAGGAAGACCAGUGGCGAAGGCGGGUCUCUGGACAGUUCCUGACGCUGAGGCACGAAGGCCAGGGGGAGCAAACGGGG
rnacentral:rRNA from 1 species